GCGGUGGAUGAUGUGGUUUAAUUCGAUGCAACGCGAAAACCUUACCCACCUUGACAUGGCAGGAAUCCCGAAGAGAUUUGGGAGUGCUCGAAAGAGAACCUGCACACAGGUGCUGCAUGGCUGUCGUCAGCUCGUGUCGUGAGAUGUUGGGUUAAGUCCCGCAACGAGCGCAACCCUUGCCAUUAGUUGCUACGAAAGGGCACUCUAAUGGGACUGCCGGUGACAAACCGGAGGAAGGUGGGGAUGACGUCAAGUCCUCAUGGCCCUUAUAGGUGGGGCUACACACGUCAUACAAUGGCCGGUACAGAGGGUAGCCAACCCGCGAGGGGGAGCCAAUCCCACAAAGCCGGUCGUAGUCCGGAUCGCAGUCUGCAACUCGACUGCGUGAAGUCGGAAUCGCUAGUAAUCGCGGAUCAGCAUGUCGCGGUGAAUACGUUCCCGGGUCUU
rnacentral:rRNA from 1 species